GUGUCAGCCGCCGCGGUAAUACGUAGGGUGCAAGCGUUAAUCGGAAUUACUGGGCGUAAAGCGUGCGUAGGCGGUUGCGCAAGACAGGUGUGAAAUCCCAGGGCUCAACCUUGGAAUUGCACUUGUGACUGUGCGGCUGGAGUGCGGCAGAGGGGGAUGGAAUUCCGCGUGUAGCAGUGAAAUGCGUAGAUAUGCGGAGGAACACCGAUGGCGAAGGCAGUCCCCUGGGCCUGCACUGACGCUCAUGCACGAAAGCGUGGGGAGCAAACAGGAUUAGAUACCCUGGUAGUCCACGCCCUAAACGAUGUCAACUGGUUGUUGAGAAGGUUCCUUCUCAGUAACGUAGCUAACGCGUGAAGUUGACCGCCUGGGGAGUACGGCCGCAAGGUUGAA
rnacentral:rRNA from 1 species